AAGACAUUGGGCUUCCACCCAAAUCCUUUCUGUGGAUGAGUACAUAGUACAGGUGCCCAAACAGCUGCAGCUACACACCAAGAAGAUAAGAGUUUGUGGCAGAAAGGUGAGGCUACGUGGGCAGGGAAGAGGUCAAGCCUUCUGAAGCCAGACUGAUUGUUGACACCAAAGUAUUGUGUAAUGAACAGCUGUGUGCAGAGGGGAAAAGUGGAUUCACUUCUGUGGCUGUUUUACAGAACAGAGUUCAUCUUGUUACCGUGUAGCGCGUGGUGAUGCCCAGAACACGCCGGCUGCUUUCCAGACUGGAAGAGGGAAGCGGUACCUGCUUGGAGAGUUCGCUUGUUCCGGAUGACAGAGAUUGAGAAAGCGUCCAGGAAUAGCAGAGCUGUGGAGGAAGGCUGCUUGUGGCCAGCCUGAUAACCAGCAGUCUAAGCUGCAGAAUGUUGAAAUAACUGGUGCCACUGUUUACCGAAGGAGAGUUUCAAGAACGCGUGGGACAGAUGUCUUUGAGGAGUGGUUUGAGCACAGCCCAUGCUGCUGUGGGAAAGGAAACAUCUACGUCCUCCCAGCUCUCCAUGGUGCUCUCCAGUGCAAAGCCUUCUAAUUGCAAAUGCAUCCAUCAGCUCUGAGUGCUCUCCUUCUCCACUGAAGUGCUCCUCAGGAAUGAUAAUUCUUGAUGCUGUGCUUCCAGCUGAGGGUGGGAAGCAAGGGAUCUCAUCGCUUUUUAAACGUGGGACUCAUGAAGAAUCUGGAUUCACGUCCCUCUGCAUUGCUUUGGCAUUUUAUUUCAUCCCUGGCUGUUGAACAGCAGGUUCUGGGCUUGCCAGUGGCCUGGUUAUUCCUAUACUUCACUUCAGUCCUGGUUUGUGCUCUCUGCAUGAAAGGCCUGCGUCAAGUAGCAGCAAUCUGAAUUGCAGGUUGAAACUUGGCAACAGCAAAGCACCAAGUGCUUGGAGGAAGCUGUAUAGGUAGAACAGGAUGGGUUUCUUGGAAAGAGAUGUUAAAAUUGGGGAAAAGAAUGAAGAAAUAUAAUCUGAGAAUAGCUGUGGAAGG
ensembl:lncRNA